rnacentral:rRNA from 1 species
UACAGAGGUCCCAAGCGUUGUUCGGAUUUACUGGGCGUAAAGGGAGCGUAGGUGGCAUUCUAAGUCUGAUGUGAAAGCUCUGAGCUUAACUCAGAAAUGGCAUUAGAUACUAGUUUGCUUGAGGAUUGGAGGGGAGAUUGGAAUUCUUGGUGUGAGCAGUGAAAUGCGUAGAUAUCAAGAGGAACACCAGUGGCGAAGGCGAAUCUCUGGACAAUUCCUGACACUGAUGCUCGAAAGCUAGGGGAGCAAACGGG